AUGAGCGAGGUGGAGAUGAUAGGCGAGGAGCAAGAAGAGGUUAUAGGUGAUGGUUCAGAGGAGGAGGAGGAGGAGGAGGCGCUCCCUCUCCAUUCGGAGCCGGUGCGGCGGCUCAGGGCGGCCGGUCGGCGGGGGCUGGUGCACGCCCUCGUCGCCGACAACGUCCACGGGGACAACCUCCGGCUGCUGCGGCGCCAGCGCCGCAGGAUGGACAGGGUGGGCGUGCGGCAGCCGACGGUGGAGGUGCGGUGGCGGGGCGUGCGCGUGGAGGCCGAGUGCCAGCUCGUCCGCGGCAAGCCGCUCCCCACGCUCCUCAACUCCGCCGUCUCCGGCCUCUCCCUGCUCACCACCAUGCUGGGGCUCAACCGUGGCCGAGAAAGGAUCCACAUCCUCAAAGAUGUCACCGGCAUCCUAAAACCUUCCAGGAUGACCCUUCUCCUUGGACCCCCGGGCUGUGGCAAAACCACCCUUUUGCUAGCACUUGCCGGAAAGCUCAACAAAAAUCUCAAGGUGUCAGCAGAAAUUGAAUACAAUGGUGUCAAGCUGAAAGAUUUUGUCCCCGAGAAGACGGCGGCUUACAUCGGCCAGUAUGAUCUUCAUGUCCCUAAGAUGACUGUCAGGGAGACGCUCGACUUCUCUGCAAGAUUUCAGGGCGUUGGCAGCAGAGCAGAAAUCAUGAAGGAGGUCAUUAGAAGGGAGAAGGAGGCCGGGAUCACCCCUGACCCCGACAUAGAUACUUACAUGAAGGCAAUAUGUGUGGAAGGUUUGGAAAGAAGCAUGCAAACAGACUACAUUAUGAAGAUAAUGGGACUUGACACAUGUGCUGAUGUACUAGUCGGAGAUGCCAUGAGAAGAGGUAUUUCUGGCGGUGAGAAGAAAAGACUAACCACAGGAGAGAUGAUAGUAGGACCAUCAAAAGUGCUCUUCAUGGAUGAAAUAUCAACUGGGCUGGACAGUUCUACCACCUUCCAAGUUGUUUCUUGCCUCCAACAACUAGCUCAUAUAUCAGAGUUUACCAUACUCGUCUCACUCCUUCAACCAGCACCAGAGACCUACGAACUUUUUGACGAUAUUAUCUUGAUGGCUGAAGGACAAAUCGUAUACCAUGGCCCUAAGAGCUGCAUUAUGAGUUUCUUUGAAUCAUGUGGCUUUAAGUGUCCCCAAAGAAAAGGAAGCGCCAACUUCCUUCAAGAGGUCUUGUCAAGAAAAGAUCAACAACAGUACUGGAGCCGCACUGAAGAAAGAUAUAAUUUUGUUACAGUUGACCAAUUCUGUGAUAAGUUCAAAUCAUCUCAACAUGGUCGGAAUCUUGCCGAGGAGCUUUCAAAGCCGCAUGACAAAUCAAAAGGACAUAAGAAUGCCCUGUCCUUCAGUAUCUACUCAUUAUCCAAGUGGGAUCUCCUCAAGGCAUGUUUUGCACGCGAGCUACUUCUUAUGAAGAGGAAUGCCUUCAUCCACAUAACAAAAGCCACCCAGCUUGGGCUAUUUGGUCUUAUUACUGGGACGGUAUUUCUGCGGACACGUAUGGGUGUUGACAGAACUCAUGCUAACUAUUAUAUGGGUUCACUCUUCUAUGCGCUCCUGCUGCUGAUAGUGAAUGGAUUCCCUGACCUGGCCAUGACAAUUGAAAGACUGCCGGUCUUCUACAAACAUAGAGACAACUACUUCUAUCCUGCAUGGGCUUAUGCGAUACCAUCUUUUAUCCUAAAGAUUCCAUUCUCUUUAGUUGGGUCGGUAGCUUUGACAUCGAUAUCCUACUACUUGAUUGGCUAUACCCCAGAAGCAUCCAGGUUUUUCUAUCAGCUCCUCAUCCUCUUCCUGAUGCACACAGUAACAUUAUCAAUGUUCCGUUGUGUUGCCACAUACUGUCAAACAAUGGUGGCUGGUUCUGUUGGUGGUACUCUGGCAUUUCUAUUCACCCUUUUAUUUGGGGGUUUCUUAAUUCCUCGUUGGAGGAUGGUAUUGCCUUUCACACCCCUUGCAAUAUCUUUCCAGGAUGUCAACUACUACGUAGACACCCCCGCGGAAAUGAGGGAGCAUGGUUUCAUGGAAAGAAAACUGCAACUACUCCAUAAUAUCACAGGAGCAUUUCAGCCGGGGGUUCUCUCGGCACUCAUGGGGGUUACUGGAGCGGGGAAAACAACUCUCCUUGAUGUUCUUGCUGGAAGGAAAACAGGAGGUGUUAUUGAAGGGGAAAUAAGAAUAGGGGUAGGUGAAUCAGUUGCAUAUUUCGCUUGGUUGCGCCUUCCACUAGAAACUGAUUCAAAAGCAAGAAAUGAAUUUGUCAAUGAAGUUCUUGAAAAAAUUGAGUUGGAUGAAAUAAGAGAUUCUUUGGUUGGAAUACCAGCGGUAAAUGGAUUGUCGACAGAGCAACGGAAACGACUCACUAUAGCAGUCGAGCUUGUGUCUAACCCUUCAAUCAUAUUCAUGGAUGAGCCAACAUCAGGCUUGGAUGCAAGGGCAGCUGCUAUUGUCAUGCGUGCAGUCAAGAAUGUUGCAGACACGGGUCGAACAGUCGUGUGCACCAUUCACCAACCAAGUAUCGAUAUAUUUGAGGCAUUUGAUGAGUUGAUGCUCAUGAGAAGAGGUGGAGAGUUGAUCUAUGCUGGGCCAGUUGGACACCAUUCUUGUGAGGUCAUCCAAUAUUUCCAGGCAAUACAUGAGAUACCUAGGAUCAAGGACAACUACAACCCAUCAACAUGGAUGCUAGAAGUUACUUCUACAUCUAUGGAAGCUCAAGUGGGAGCAGAUUUUGUACAAAUGUAUAGGGCAUCGUCAAUGUGCAAAAACGACCAGCGAGGCCUCUUCACCAUAUUGGGGUGCAUGUAUGGAAUCACUCUGUUCACCGGCACCAACAUUUGCCAGGCAGUGAUGCCAUUUGUCGCCAUCGAGCGCUCCGUUGUUUACAGGGAGAGGUUUGCAGGGAUGUACUCUCCUUGGGCCUACCCUUUUGCACAGGUUGCCAUGGAGAUACCUUAUGUGCUGGUUCAAGUAGUGAUGUUCAUGUUGAUAGCAUAUCCGAUGAUCGGGUACGCGUGGACAGCAGCAAAAUUCUUCUGGUUCAUGUACACCAUGUCGUGCACGCUGCUCUACUUCGUCUACCUGGGAAUGAUGAUUGUGUCGCUCACCCCUAACAUCCAACUUGCAUUCAUACUUACAUCUGUGUGCCACGGCCUGCAAAACCUCAUCUCCGGCUUCCUCGAUGCAGUCCGUUUCGGAUCUCAUAGCGAGCCAUGCCCCGGACGUCAUCUUCUUGCAGCCACUCCUCUGUCUCCUAUCCCUUCCGCCGCCGCUCGUCGCAGCUCCGCCUCCCCGCCUGGCAGCGGCCAGAGAAGGGCCUCCCCGCCUCACCUCCUCUUCCUCUCUUCCCGAGGGUGCUUGCCGGAGGGAUCGCGCGGCGGCUCUAUGGCAGAGACGGCAGCGGCAGCAGAGUCGGAUAGCGGGAGCGAGGUGGGCCCAACCGGGGACUCGGCGGAGUUCGCUUCGCCGGUGAAGGCGAGGAAGAGGGCGCCGGAGUCGGAGGCCGGCACCUCGGCGACGACGGCGUCCGAGUCCUCGGAGACGAGGGUCGACGAUGGCAACAUCCAGGAGGCCGAGUCCUCGCUCCGCGAGGGCCUCUCCCUCAACUACGAGAACAAAACAGUGGGGACAAAGUUGAUAAUAGCGACAAUGCAAAGAAGGAAGGGGAAGGAAUCGGGGAAAGCUUGUGAAGAGAAGGCCCCUGAGAACACUGAUGCCAAGGAAGAGAACUCAGAUGAUGCUGAGGAGUUGAAAGUGUCAGAUGCACAAGGGAGCGGGCUGCUCUCGGUGCUCGACCGGAUGCUCACCGACAAGGAGUACCGUUGCGUGUGCGCCCAGGUGCAGCGCAAGGGCGUGGAGGCGGAGGGGUACGCCGUCGAGGGGAUCUCGGUGGGCGGGCACAAGACCUGCAUCACAGUGCCGUCCCUCAACGUCGCAUUCGACAUCGGCCGUGGCCCACUCUUCGCCGUGCGCCAUGACCACCUCUUCAUCACGCACGCCCACCUCGACCACAUCGCAAUACCACCUUACUACAAUGUUUUUGCUAAUUUCUCAGCACUUGCGCAGAAAGACAAGAGCUACGUGUUGCUCAAGGAACAACUUGCUGUUGUUGUUCCUGUGCUAGACGACCUGAAAUGCAAGACAGAAAAAAGGAUCAAGCAGUAUUAUGAUAUUCGAUCACAGAUUGAGAAGAUAUGCUCCGAGUUAAGUGAGCAUAAUGAUCAGGGUGAUAAUGUAAACAGUCCAGCUGCGGCGCCAGCGGGUUUGUUCUCGGCUUUUCUUGACUGGAAGCGCAGUGCCACCAACCCCUACGGCGCUGAUGGCCGCCCUCGCCUCCACCCGGUGUUCUGCGACCACAGGCUGCAUGUGGCGAUGUGCCGCUUACCCGAGCCCACUCGGUCGGACAUUCGGUCCGUGGCCAGGCUCGACAAAGCCCACGACUACCUCCGGCACUUCGCCAGCUGCUCCUCCCACAACGCCGUUCUCGCCGGUGACAUGAACUGGGACGAAGACCUCGACGGUCCCUUCCCCAUCGCCGCUGGAUCGGGGUGGGUGGACGCCUGGCGUGAGCUGCGGGGUGAUGACGGCGCCGGCGGGUGGACGUACGACUCGGUGGCGAACCCGAUGCUGCGCGGGUUCAAGCCCGGGGGGAGGCGGAUGAGGCCGGAUAGGUUCCUCUGCAAGCUCAGGGACUUCAGCCUGGACAGCACCGAGAUGGUCGGGACAGAAGCCAUUCCUGGCGUCACCUACUACGACGAGAAGGGGGGCGUGCUGCUGCCGGUUCUUCCCAGCCAUCGCAUUGGCUUGCUGCUCACCAUCUCGCCCAAGCAGGCUUAG
rnacentral:rRNA from 1 species